UACGUAGGGGGCAAGCGUUGUCCGGAUUUAUUGGGCGUAAAGAGCUCGUAGGCGGCUUGGCAAGUCGGGUGCGAAAACUCCAGGCUCAACCUGGAGAUGCCACUCGAGACUGCUAUGGCUAGAGUCCGGUAGGGGACCACGGAAUUCCUGGUGUAGCGGUGAAAUGCGCAGAUAUCAGGAGGAACACCGGUGGCGAAGGCGGUGGUCUGGGCCGGCACUGACGCUGAGGAGCGAAAGCGUGGGGAGCAAACAGG
rnacentral:rRNA from 1 species